rnacentral:rRNA from 1 species
AUUGAACGCUGGCGGUAGGCCUAACACAUGCAAGUCGAACGAGUGGCGGACGGGUGAGUAAUGUCUGGGAAACUGCCUGAUGGAGGGGGAUAACUACUGGAAACGGUAGCUAAUAACGCAUACCAUCGGAUGUGCCCAGCUGGGAUUAGCUUGUUGGGGGGGUAGUGGCUCACCAAGGAGACGAUCCCUAGCUGGUCUGCGAGGAUGACGAGCGUGACUUGAAAUGAGACACGGUCCAGACUCCUACGGGGGGCAGCAGUGGGUAAGAUUGCACAAUGGGCGCAAGCCUGAUGCAGCCAUGCCGCGUGUAUGAAGAAGGCCUUCGGGUUGUAAAGUACUUUCAGCUGGGAGGCGUUACCCUCAGAAGAAGCACCGGCUAACUCCGUGCCAGCAGCCGCGGUAAUUC